CGCCUCUCCCGGCCUCCCCCGGCGCAGACGCAGCGCGGCGCCGCCGCUGCCUCUUCUGGGGACGGGGAGGCGGCCGCCGGCGGCGGGGCCCUCAUGGCGGCGCGCGGGGCCGCGGCCGCAACGGCCGUAACGGUCGACGGCGCCGCGCGCGCGGCGCAACGGCCGCAACAGCCGGCGGCGGUUUGGGGUGCGGUGCCGCGGAGGGCGGCCCCGGGUUCGCCUGCCCGAAAUGGUUUGGUGGGGAGGGAGUCGGUGCCGUGGCGGUGCCUCGCAGGAGGGCGAGGAGCCGUGUCGCUUCUGGCGGCGGCGUUUGGCCCUCGGAAAUGCGCUCCCCUUCCCCGAAACCUCCGUGGUGGCCCCGCCUCGCUGGCCGCGGUGCAAGGAAUUUAAACGCGUGCCCCUAUGGAAAAAAAUAAAAUGAUAUUUUGUAUGCGGGGUCUCCAGGCCUGCCACGGUGCUUCACGUAUGUUUUGCAUAGGUGCCUCAGGACCCCCCCCCCCCCAACUCCCAGGAGCUCCACGGCGGGAGCAGAGCGGAAGGCAGGAGCGCCCCAGGGCCAAAGUAACCCAGGAAAUGAAUGGGUGGCCGAGAUUUCAAAACUGAACUAAGAUGGUCAGAUGGUUUGCUGUACUUUGCAGAAUGAAACAUAUGUUCCUGACAGCUACUUAAUUUCAACUACUUAAAUUGAUGGAGCUCUAAACUGUGCAAGGAUUGGUAAAGAAGAGGAACAGGAAGCCUUCCAGAAGUCUGUUGGAACAAUUGAUAACCAUGGUAUUAACAGGAGUACUCAAAGAACACAAGGCCAUUGCAGGGAAGAGAGAAUGGAAGAAACUUGAUAAAAUGAACAGUAGAAAUCACUAGGACCAGACAGUAUUCACCACAGUAUUCAAGGGGAAAACAGCAAAAUUGCUAACAGUAAGUGUGAUACUAACUUCUGGAAAGAGUCCCAUGGAAGUUAGGGGGCCUGACAGGCUGGGAAACCUGCUCUCUCCUCUGCAGAUCUGUAGAAACUAUGGUAGGGAACAGAAUCAGUGGACACCUGGAUAAAUAUGAUCUACUUGGAAGAGUCACUGUGAUUCUGGUAGAGGGAAAUUCUGCCUUACAAACUUACUAAACUCCCUGAAGAGUCAACAUGCAUGUGGAGAAGAGUGAGCUGGUUGAUACAGUCUAGUUAGACUUCCAAGGGGUAAUUCAUGUUCUUGUAGCAGAUAAGGGAAUGCAUACCUUUCCACUCCACCAGCCACAGAACCCUAUAUAAAGUGGUAUAUUUUUCCCCAUAUUUUGCUUCGCUAAACUGCUCUUUCUCUCACCUCUUCCAAACAUCUUCCAUAGACACCUGGUUUCCAUUAAGACUUAGAGCCAAAAAAGUGCAUCUCAACUCCCUCUCUCUCUUCCCUUAACAUCCUCUGUUCUCAGGACUGUAAUUUCUUAUUUUCCUUCUGUUGUGAGAUAAGCAAUACCAUCUUGGCUGGAAAAAGUGAUUUCAAGGGAGAGAGCUCUUAAAGGUGGAUUUCUAGGGUGAAGUAAAAGCACUUUAACCACUAUGAUUACUGUCUCUCUGUCCCUGUAGUCAUACCUCCAUUUCUGUAUCACCCUGGGAAGAGGAUGUUGCAUGAAUGCACAACUUGCUCUCAAAGCCUGAAACACUCUACCUACUCCCUAGCACCUUAGCAGGUGAAAAAGAAUGGAUACAUGCAGAUCCCACGCUAGACUUCCUGUGACAGGAAUAUUUCAGAAGGAAAAUGAAGUUAAAUGCCUUUCUCUGGACGCAUUGCCUCCAUGCUCAAAAGGAAUUUUGCAGCCUUUUCCCAUGGAAUCUACUUAGACCUCAAUCAUAUCACCAUCCCUCUCAUACUGCUGUAUCUCUACUGUUCAUCUGAUCAGGUGUCAUCUUAGCACAUGAAUCGCAAUCUAAAAUAUGGGGUCUGCUGUACUGCCUGGGGAUUUUCUUUCUUAAAAUAGUUUCAUUUAGUUUUUAGAUCCUUCUUGUAAGGUAGGAACACUGUGGCAAUUUAGGUAUCUUUAAAAGCCUCCUGAUUUCCUGCAGAACCAUCAAAAAUCUGAGCUGUGGUAGGUCUCAUGUGGUGCUUGACUUCCUACACCCUGCUGUUUCCACAGAGCAAAGCAAUAGUUUUCUUCUGCCAUGGCUGGAUUAAGUUUCUCAGAACUCCUAAUUUAUUGAAUCAAGGGCCAAGGCAUGGGGGAAAUGGAGCUGCUGCAACCCUUCUAAUUAUGGUCAGAAAAAUAAUUCUAACUGGCAGUAGAAUGGGACUGAGUCAGGUAAAACAGUGGGGGCAAAGUGCCAAGAGUUAAGACUUUGUGGUUUUAAAAUGACAACCUUUCCACCUGUGUCCUUUUUCCUCUCUUUGGGAGGACCCCACCGCUCAAAAUUCUGUGUGUAGAGAUACUAUCUUCUGAGCAAAUAGGAACAAAAUUAAGGAGAGAAGAUAGCUAAAACUGCUUCUCUCAAAACAUGCAUUCAUACGUGGCUGAACAAAACAAGCCAUACAUCCAGUGUUGAUAAAAAGAAUCUAAGGGUUAUAAACCGGUCCGUAAGACUUCAGGUACAGUCUAUAUUCUUUAUGAUGUUUUCCAUUGUCAUCAUAUGCUUCCAUUUUCCUUUACGGUCAAUACUUCUUAUCCCUUCUAAUACCUCAUUUUAUUCCUCUCCUCUGUCUUAUCUCCAGUUUGUAGACAUUGUUCUGGCUUUCAGGUCGCUAAAGCCUUGUUUAGUAUUCAAAAAUACUGUAUGGGGAGGAAUACAGCAUUUUUGGUGAUAUUCUUUGUGUAUUUAUCUUAAUAUUUCAGUGGCUAUUUUGACUGCUAGGCCAUUUGUUGCCAUUCUGUUUUUCUUUCUGUUUUAAAAUAAACUGAAUAACAGAUGUGAA